rnacentral:rRNA from 1 species
UAGGGAAUCUUCCACAAUGGACGCAAGUCUGAUGGAGCAACGCCGCGUGAGUGAAGAAGGUUUUCGGAUCGUAAAGCUCUGUUGUUGGUGAAGAAGGAUAGAGGCAGUAACUGGUCUUUAUUUGACGGUAAUCAACCAGAAAGUCACGGCUAACUACGUGCCAGCAGCCGCGGUAAUACGUAGGUGGCAAGCGUUGUCCGGAUUUAUUGGGCGUAAAGCGAGCGCAGGCGGAAUGAUAAGUCUGAUGUGAAAGCCCACGGCUCAACCGUGGAACUGCAUCGGAAACUGUCAUUCUUGAGUGCAGAAGAGGAGAGUGGAACUCCAUGUGUAGCGGUGGAAUGCGUAGAUAUAUGGAAGAACACCAGUGGCGAAGGCGGCUCUCUGGUCUGCAACUGACGCUGAGGCUCGAAAGCAUGGGUAGCGAACAGGAUUAGAUACCCUGGUAGUCCAUGCCGUAACGAUGAGCGCUAG